rnacentral:snRNA from 1 species
UCACUUUCAGGGAAGCAGGGGAGAUACCAUGAUCAUGAGGGUGGUUUCCCACAGUGAGGCUUAUCCAUUGUACUCCAGAAGGGCUGACCCCUACAAUGUCUCCACGUGUGGGAAACUCAACUGCAAAAGUGGUGAUGGGAGAGUGAGUUCACAUUCUUCCC